rnacentral:rRNA from 1 species
CCUACGGGAGGCAGCAGUAGGGAAUAUUGCUCAAUGGGGGAAACCCUGAAGCAGCAACGCCGCGUGGAGGAUGAAGGUUUUAGGAUUGUAAACUCCUUUUGUUAGAGAAGAUUAUGACGGUAUCUAACGAAUAAGCACCGGCCAACUCCGUGCCAGCCGCCGCGGUAAUACGGAGGGUGCAAGCGUUACUCGGAAUCACUGGGCGUAAAGAGUGCGUAGGCGGGGUAAUAAGUCAGAUGUGAAAUCCUGUAGCUUAACUACAGAACUGCCUUUGAAACUGUUACUCUGGAGUGUGGGAGAGGUAGGUGGAAUUCUUGGUGUAGGGGUAAAAUCCGUAGAGAUCAAGAGGAAUAC